rnacentral:ncRNA from 1 species
UCAAAUGCAAUGACGAGGAGGAGUACAUAUCUCCCGAAAGUAUAGAGAGAAGAUGGAUGGUGAAAAUCUUUGUUUCGGAUUUAUGGAAGUAGCCUUUGAGCAGUGAACCGAAAGAGAAGCAAAAGUCAGCAUAUGACAGCAGAUUGUAUCAUCUGAGAUGAAAAGCUUUUUUAGUAGACUUCAACGGAAUUCCACCGUUACAGGGAAUGCAAUAUUAAUGAUAUGAUCAGCGUGUUGUAUGAGUGCAAGGAGUAAUCUUUGAAAUUAGGUGGUACCGCGGAAUAGUUCGCCCUAAGU